UAGGGAAUCUUCCACAAUGGGCGAAAGCCUGAUGGAGCAACGCCGCGUGUGUGAUGAAGGGUUUCGGCUCGUAAACACUGUUGUAAGAGAAGAAUGACAUUGAGAGUAACUGUUCAAUGUGUGACGGUAUCUUACCAGAAAGGAACGGCUAAAUACGUGCCAU
rnacentral:rRNA from 1 species